ensembl:lncRNA
UCUGGCCUGGUCCGAGGUGAGCAGUAUGUCCUGUGCCGAAAGACUCAUUGAAGUAGAAGUCUUCCUCCAGAUCAAGAAGGUGUGGCUGAGUAAGGAGGGGAGUACCAGCUGUCGCACCACCCCAACCUCGUUCUCCAAUGAGAUCCAUCGACAAGAUGGAGCUCUCUGGCUUCAAGAAGCGCUUCUGAGGAACUUCCUCCAUUCAUUUCACCAAUGCUCUCUAAUCACAUCCUCUUCAGUACUUCUACCACAUCACUGUUACCUACUGUCUCUGUGGGUAUUAUCCUUCCACUACCAUCUGUAGCUUUAUGUUUCUCAAUUGAUUGUUUCCUCCCCAACCUUUCUGAAAAAUACAUUUAAAAAAUACAAUGCUGUAAAGCUAGAAUCCUUAGUUGUUACAUCAAUUUGCUGGACUUAAAAAUAUAUACCCAAUGAUUCUUGAAGAAUAUAACUUAUAUACUAAGUGUACAAAACAUUAAGAACACCUUCAUUUUAUUGAGUUGGUGAAGGAAACUGUUGAGCGUGAAAAAUCCAGCAGCGUUGCAGUUUUUGAAACAAACCGGUGUUCCUGGCACCUACUACCAUACCCCAUUCAAAGACACUUCAAUAAUUUCUUGCCCAUCUACUCCUCUGAAUGGCACACACACAAUCCAUAUCUCAAUUGUCUCAAGGCUUAAAAAGCAUUUUUGAACCUUUGUCCUCCCCUUCAGUUACACUGAUUGAAGUGGAAAUAACAAGUAACAUCAGUAAGUAUCUUUCACCUGGUCAGUCUUUGUCAUUGAAAGAGCAGGUGUUCCUAAUGUUUUGUACACUCGGUAUACAUGCCCCAUCAGAAACCCCCAAAUAAGCUUGUUUUACUCCAACGUUUGUAAACAAUGUAAAUGUAAACAAACAGUAUAUAGCCUCAAAACAAGCUUAAACUGUAAUUUUGAUAUCAUGGAUGAUCAGUCCUUGCACCUAUUGCUCUGUCUGUGAAUUUUUAGUGGUUGCAUUUCUUCUGGCCCAUCCCUCAGCUUUUAAUCAAAGCAGAGGCGUGGUGACUGUUUUGUUAUUGUUUUCAUUAUAUCUGAAUCUAUUAUGUAGACAGUUUGAAAUUGUGUGCCAUUUUUGUAUGUGAAAGCUUAUCCAAAUAGUACCUUUUUUUUCUCAUCAAUGCUUUCCGAGUCUAAACAUUUUGAAUGUUACAUUUAGGCUGGCAGAACAGAAUCUAUUCUUAGGCAGCUUUGUGCUUUGCUGAUUCUCAUUGCUUUUCUUCUCAAAAUUGAAUGCAAUGAAUAAAAC